GUCGAUGCAGCUGUAGUGACAAUCUCAGAGCAGCUUCUACACCACAGCCAUUUCCAGCAUGAAGAUCACUGGGGGUCUCCUUCUGCUCUGUACAGUGGUCUAUUUCUGUAGCAGCUCAGAAGCUGCUAGUCUGUCUCCAAAAAAAGUGGAUUGCAGCAUUUACAAGAAGUAUCCAGUGGUGGCCAUUCCCUGCCCCAUCACAUACCUGCCAGUUUGUGGUUCUGACUACAUCACCUAUGGGAAUGAAUGUCACUUGUGUACCGAGAGCUUGUGAGUACCUCAUAAGAAGAAAAUGAGAUCUGGAGUCAGUGCUCUCUACUACAAACGCUUCUACUUUCCAGGAUCCAGCUUAAAUCUCUAUAAGCUGUAAUUUAUAAUUAUUCCCACCCAGAACAGCAGGUGGGGAUAGAAAACUGACUGUUGCACAAUCAGACAGGGUAGAGUCACCUGCUCUGCCAGCUUGGACUAGUCCCAUCCCAUCACAGAACCUCCAGUUCCUGUCUGUCAAUUGUGAGAAUCCAGUAAGACUGUGGAUUCUCAAACUGCUGUCCCCA
rnacentral:sRNA from 1 species